UAUUAAUUGAAAAGCAAAACAUUAUUAAACUGUGGGCAAAGCCCCCGAUUUUUCAUUUCCUAAGCUAAGCCCAUGUCCCAACUCUUUCUUGGGAGAAGAAAACCAUUAGCAUUCUUAAAAAAUACAAAAUAAAAAUAGAUCAAGAAACCUUAAAGACUUAACUCUCUCCUUUCAUUUCUUUUGCUGCGCCGCUGAAAUUCUUUUUAUCGAUGGACCUGUUAAAUCACAUCCUCUGUUCUUUGUCUUGGCUUUGUUUCCCCGAUCUGUCAUCUUCUGAGUUACUCAGAGCUUUGUUACCUGUCUUCUUCUCUGGACUUAGUCCAACAAAGCUCGGCACACUUUCUCUAAUCAAGUCUCCUUUGGUCUUUAAUAACGAUGGGUUGAACCUCCAACGGAGUUUCUUCCACCUAAAAAGUCAAAAAAUAACUUCCUCGGCCCCAUGUGGCCAUCACAUGCGCCGUUCCAUUGGCUUCUUACAGUAUGAACCAGAAUUCAAUAUUCUAUAAAAUUCUUGAUUUUGCUAUUAUUUCAUUUAUAAUUCCCCCAAUGACUGAUAUAUCAUUUCCAUGUCCAUGGUUUUGCAAUUUUUUAAUGACGAUCUUUGAGUCCCCUUCGAUGAUAACAUCACUGAAUCUCAUUUCUUCAGCAAAAAUGAAUCAUUAGAGGGUGCAUUCUCAAAAGAUGUGGCUUACAGACUCAUCUUCUUCUCCACCAAGUGGGCAUAAAGCAUCAUAUCCCAGUCUACGGCCUUUUAAAUUACUUAAAAUAGGAAAGAAAUUAUUUUUAAUUCUCUAUAGAGUAAUACGAACAUUAUUGGGAAUUUUUAGACUCUAAAUUUUUGUAAAAUAACUUCUAGUUAGAUCUUGGUCUGCUGUAAUUUUGUUUCUCAGCAUUUUCAAAUCUUCUAAGACAUACAUUUUGUAAUCACUUUUUAUCGUGUAUUCUCCUGACUUGUCACCUCGCCAGCUCCUUAUAUCUGAUUGUAGAGUGCUCCCUAGAGGAAUGGAUUCAA